ensembl:rRNA 5S_rRNA 5S ribosomal RNA
GUCUAUGGCCAUACCACCCUGAACAUGCCUGAUGGAAAGCUAAGCAGGGUCGGGUCUGGUUAGUACUUGGAUGGGAGACAAAUAGAUCAUCUAAGUAGAAGCUCAGAGCUCUACU